rnacentral:rRNA from 1 species
AUUGAACGCUAGCGGGAUGCUUUACACAUGCAAGUCGAACGGAGUGGCGAACGGGUGAGUAAUGAAACGGAACGUGCCCAGUAGCGGGGGCAAACUACGCGAAAGCGUAGCUCAUACCGCAUACUAUUGGAGCGGCCGAUAUAGGAUUAGCUAUUUGGUGAGGUAACGGCUAACCAAGGCGACGAUCCGUAGGUGGUCUGAGAGGACGACCAGCCACACGGGGACGUAGACACGGCCCAGACUCCUACGGGAGGCAGCAGUGGGGAAUUUUGGACAAUGGGGGCAACCCUGAUCGAGCCAUCCCGCGUGUGCGAUGAAGGCCUUCGGGUUGUAAAGCACUUUUGGCAGGAAAGCGGUACCUGCAGAAUAAGCACCGGCUAACUACGUGCCAGCAGCCGCGGUAAUAC